UGUUCUGUGGCGAAGUUGUUUAACGCGCCCUGUCUAGCGAACUUGGGGAGACGUGGGUUCAAACCCCACCAGAACUA
rnacentral:tRNA from 1 species